AUGAAUUUUUCAACUUAUGUCGAGUUUCUUAAAUACACCAGUGGUUUGUUCGAGUUUUUCCAAAUCCGUUUGGUCCUACAUUUCUCGUUUUGGAAAAUCGGUGUCACUGGUGCCCCAAUUGUGUGUUUUUUGUCUCAACUUCGUGCCGAAGGUGGCGUCUGAGACCCGCACGCUAACGAAGAGCCAUUACAGGGCAAUUAAGAUGAUUGCGAGUUGCCAAUUAUUGUCUGAAAUCGUCUCUCGGUCGUCCAUAUUAAGAGUCGCAGUGCUUUCUCGUAGAAUUCCAGUGGGGGCAUUAAUUGCCGCCGACCGUAUUUAUAUUCACUGUCAAAAUGGAAAGGUAAUCAGCAGCAACAACUUAAUUCAACUCGAGUCAUAAAUAAGAGAUCUAAAGUUCAUGUUGUUGUCCGAGUCAUUCAAUAAAAUAUCGAAGCGAUCGCACACGAGGCUACCGAGACUCCCUUGAUAAAUAAUAAGUGCCAAAGCAGCCCCCGCGUGAGUCUUUUUUCGGUCGGUUUGUCUCGGAUUUAUGUCCGACGAGGACGCAAUUCAAAUCGAACGAAUAAAACAGCAGUGAUUGGACAUAAACAAUGCCCCACUUGAUUAGGGAAUAAAUACUUGAUCCGGAUGCAAGGACGUUGGUGGUCCGAGACAAUUCAAUUAAACGAUCGCACAAUUUUCAACCCGAGGCAAACACGAAUAAUUAUCCUACGGUACUGCUAAUAUCAAAUUACCCAAUGGGAGAUGUUUACGACUCGAGAUGGAGCGCUGAGAGAUAAUUAUUUAAAAAAUAAAUUACGGAAAGUGGCUACUAUAAAGUGGCAGACGGUCGUACGUCAUCGAAGGGAUUUUAUACUUUUCAGAAUUAUUUCAUCUCACGCAGAGAGAUGAAAGCUACAAGGACUUAUUUUACGACUCGAUAGGAGAAUAAUUUAAACACAAGAAUUUUUCAACACUUGGAUCACCGAAAAAUCGAAUUUCAAACGGUUUUAUCGGCACGAAACACGUUUUCGGUGAAUAACGAAUUAAUGGUCCAGUAGGACACUUCAUAAACGAAACACUUGUUACCACUCAGACCUAUUUUUUUUACAAAAGUCCAUCUUAUCUCUAAACAAUAUUUUCGCUCAAAUAAACGACUGUUGACUCUAAAAUUAAUUUGCUAUCUGAUUACGGGUCUAAUUGCGUCGAAAAAAGUAAUUCCCCGAAAUAGAACUAAUCGUUUGAGAGUCACUCAAAUUAAAUAAUAGUAGUAUAACAAUUAAUUACCUCAUCAUCGCUUGUGGUAAUCUGAUUUUUUAAUGUUUUUAAUAGGACAAUCUCGUGAUCUCAUUUUUGGCAUACAACUCUAUUUACUCAUUUUUAUCUCGCAGCCGUAAAACGCAAAAAACGAUGCUUGAGUGAUGGUUUUCGAUUUUUCGAUUGACAGUCGGUUAACCGAAAGUGAUCAUUUAAGUAGAGCGUGAUGAUUUAUGUUUGUGCUUUAAUAGAUUUUUUUAGCAUAAUUUUUUAAUUGCCCCCUGAUUAUUAAUUGUGGAGCUUUAAUUCGAAAUUGAUUAUACCGUAUGGGGUUUAUUAAUAUCCAGAUUUUUUUGGCCAAAAUUUUAUUUGUAGAUAAGUAUCAGCCGAAGGCAAUGCUCAAUUAUUAGGUGUCUUGGAAUAAAUUUUCUAAUAUCUAUGUGUGAGGCAUUCGGAAUAAUCUAGUUUUAAUAACCCGGAUUUGCAUACAGCGUGCGCCAGUCCGGGCCUGGACGACACAAAAGCCUUGUGCAAUAUUUCAAACGGUCAGCUUUUAUCCACGCCAUUGUCCGAUUUUCAACAGAAGCAAAGAUUUUUUCUUUUAUAUUACCUGGAUUUAUUUGAGAUGUUAUCGAUUUUCGGGGGAAGGUCAAUAAAGGACUAUAGAAAUUUUUACGAAACGUUUUAUUUAUUCCUAGCCUAGCGACAAGCAAAGUGUGACUUGAAAACUGAUUUCGUUGAUUUUCGCAGCGAUUGGGGCACUUUGGUCCGUUAUGCACUUUAUUGUUGAAGUGACAGUUGCAUUUUUAACCGCAGCGAAAUUAUUUUCGACUAUUUCAAUCUGAGCAUCCAGAUCUAGAAUUUUUUCGGUGAUACAGUCCAGGAACAACUGGUCUUGACUGGGACUGAGCGGAUCCAGGGUCUGACACGCCGA